UAAAAAAAAAAAAAAAAGAAGUAAAUGUGUUAAAAACAUGGGUUUGUGAAACUACUGUUAGUUCCAUUUAGGUAUGGAAAUUCAAAAACAAAAUAGCUAAUUUUCCUGCCAUAUCUUUUUUUAUACCCCACAAACUGACAGCCAGAUAGCCCCAAAUUCAUAUGUAAAUAAAGCUUCCAAAAGGUCAACAAUACACUAUUUUGAAAAAUAUUUCAGGUCUUCAAAUCCUGAAAUAUUUCAGGAUCUUUCAAACAGAUAACCUUGCUAAAAAUACAUCUUUAGUGAAUAGAUAUACUGCUGAAUAGAAGGGGAUUUAUUGCUGCACAUUAUAUAGAAUAUUUCAAAUAAUAACAUCCACUUAUCUUUGUCAACAAAUAGGGGUGUCAACUGGAAUUCAUUCAACAAAUUACUUGUUGAGCCUGGUGCCAGGUACUAUUUCCAGGAUGGUAUCAGCCUUAUUCUCUACGGGACAUAAUAAUAGGGUUUGCAGUAGCCUCAAGCCAAGAAUAAUUAGCAAAAAUAGUGAACUUCUUCUUUUGGCAAGGAAGUUUUUGAUACAAUACUCUAAUAAUAAUAAUAAUAAUAUAAUAAUUUUGAAUGUAAUUUUUAAGUAAUCUCUGUGAGAAUACUCUUACGUGAUUGUUAACAUUUAGGUAACAUCUGUGUUCAAGAUUGAUUUUAUGUAACAUAAAAAGCUUUCAUUCACAAGUUUUUAAAAUUAUAUGAUCAUUUUACUUCUAUUGAACAUAUUUUCAAUUUUUGAAAAAUACCCCUAUAAAAGAGUAUCCUGUGACAGUGACAGUAUUAGAUUUAGUUUCUUCUUUUAUAAAAUGAGAAUAGCCAUUUCCUCUAAUUCUUAUGAAGGCUAAAUGAGAUAAUGUAUGUAAAAUGAUUUAAGAAUUGUGAAGUUUGAUUUAAAUACAAAGAAUAUUAAUGUAAUCAAAUUGCCUCUAUCCUCAGUAGGCAGCUUUUUCUUGUGACAGAGAGUAUCUGUUGAAGGUUAAAGUGAUGAAGGUGGCAUGUUUUGCAGAGAUGAACCUUAUGGCAUUGAUGCCUUUAGGGAUUUAAGUAGAAUUAUGGAAAAAUAAUAACUGCUUCCAGAGAGAUGAAAGCUGCCUUGUGGGUCCCUCAGUCAGUGUCACAAUAUUUUUUUGGAGCUAGUUUGACUCUGGAGAGGUCAGCAAAGUAAACAGUUGCACUGAGGGGCCAGAUCACUCAAGUGUGGGUUUCUCUAAAUGAUCACCUGCUCCUAGGCUGGAAUUGGGGUUGUGGCCUUCCUACAGCUUGUUUCAAGGGAAUAGGAAGGGCUCAGCACUGAGUCUAUAUUGUGUGUGAUGCUGGGGUGGGAAGUGGAGUGUGGAACCGGAAUGGAUGGAAGUGUAUUAGAUUUUAAGAAAGUCUCUUUCAGCAGUUUUCUCUUUUACAUAUAAGUAAUAAUGAAUAUUUAGAACAAAAACAGUUUUGUGAAAAGGAAAAGGCCUAUAAUUUGAAUUGUAAUGCUGUUUGUUUUUAUUGACAUUAUUUAAAUCUGGAGGGUUUUCCUUUUAAGAAAAGGGAGGAGAUGUCAAGGAGACAGAAUUUUAGUCCUGCCCCCUCCCCCAAAAAACUACAGGUUCACUGUAGGAAAACAAUUACAAAUGGGUAAUAAAAUGCUUUCAGUUAGAAAAAUUAGUUCUGCAUUUGUGUAUUCAGUAAUAGAACUUGUUGAAAUCUAUAUUAGAAGCAAGAAAGGAGUCGCCAAAGUAAAAUUCUUUGUGUUGACAUUAACAUUUGUGUUUUCCCACAGUAACUUUUCAAACUUUGUUUUUGUUUAGCAUUUAGAAGAAGAAAAACCGGAUGGCCUUAUCAAUGAAGCUUCUAGGCAAGUUGCUUUGGCAGACAUCAUCAUCAUUAAUAAAACAGACUUGGUUUCAGAAGAGGAUUUAAGCAAAUUAAGAACAGCCAUUAGAUCAAUAAAUGGACUGGGAAAAAUUUUAGAAACACAAAGAUCAAGGUACUUUUAAAACCCACUACUAAUAUUGACAGUAAAUAAUUUUAGUUAAUAAUAAUUAUUAAGUAAUUGAUAAAUAUGCUCGAUUCUAUUAUAAGAAAGAUACAUGUGCAUUUUUUAAAAAUGGGAUCCCAAAAUGUUUUGAAUGUUCUUUAUCAAUUAUUUUGGUAUAUUUGGUUAAUAUGUUUGCUUCUUCUUGUAGCUGAGACCACAGAGCCAUGGCAAGACGGGUAACUGUGCUUUUGUUUCAUGAGGAAGAAAACAUAGGACUUUUUUGUCCACUCAGUAAAGUAACUAGUAUAGAAAACUGUAAAAGUAUAUUAUUAGGAAUCUCAGCUUAGGUUGAGGUACUUAAAUGGCAUUCUAAUAUUUUCAAAAAACUUCUAGUAUUUUGUAUAGCUGCAAAAAUAAUCUGUCAUGUAAAAAUAGAUGGAACCUUUAAGUUUCUAACACAUCCUUUUUUACAUUUUUAUUUUCAUUUCCUGUAGGUUCUUCUUUUUAUUCUGUUCAUACAGAUGUGCAUUACUUUAUAAAAAUAGACAUAUUCUUGAAACAUCUGUGAAAUGUAUUUCCCUGGAUUGAAUUCUGUUUUCCAAUGAAUGCCAUUAUGAUUUCAGAAAAUUUCUUACAGGGAUAUGUUGUUAAGCUCCUUUUUUAGCAAGAAUGGUUCAGCAGCUCGUAGACCCAGCAACUUGCAGCCAGCAGCUCUGAGGUUCACAGCUGGCGGUCUGGUGCCAACCCAGUCCUUAAUUCAGAGAUUCUUUGCUUGGAAGUGCAGCAGAGGUCUUAGCUGAGAGGCUUGUCUGCUACGGCAGAGAUUAGAGGUGCUGACAGACUGCCCUGAGCGUGAGGCAGGGACGGUGGCAGCUGCCUGUGUGCAUGUGAGCAGCUGGGGAAGGAAUUUGGUAUGUGUUCUCAGAAGCCAGUCAUCUGCUGGCCGGGGUGGUGGAAGAAUGCCCUUAGUGUAAGUCUUCUGCAAGCGUCACCAAAUGCGCUCCCUGCAUUUCAGAUUCCGAUGUAGAAAAUCUCUAGUAAUCUAACUCAUACCAGAGCCAUUCCUCAGUUAUGGGUCUUCUUUCUAUUACAUUUUACCAUUUUCUUUCUCCUUAAAUUUUCUCUUCAUUACAAAGUGACACACAGAUGACCACAUAAAGCUGAAAUAAGUUUUUAAAAACCAUAUCCAUAAAGAGCUGUGGUUCCGUUGUAAUAGCAUUUAUUUGGUUCAUAUUUACAAACAUCUCAGGUCAGUUUUUACAGGCCCCUGGAUUUACCUUGCUUCGUUUUUCUUUCUGUUGGUUUUCAUUUUAGACCGCUAUGUCUUGCAUAAAGGUUUUCUCUUGAAGAGAUUGUUGUGUAACAAUUUUGAUGUUUAUAUGACAUUUCUGACAGUUCUAUUAUAUCGUAGAACAGUAAACAUGCAGUGAUUAAGAAUGAGCAAAUGGAUAAAAUCUCCUUUUUUCUUCUGUUUCUUCAGCGUCUUGUGUUUGCCAUUGUAUCUGAGAACCUAGGGACUUUCUGAAAUAGUACUUCCUUGCUGUGAGGGCUGAAGCUGGAUAAGGAUCUGUUUCAGUGAAGAUCAGACCUCCAUGUAGAGUUCUUACAUGAUCAUGAAUCUUACAUUAAACAUUUCCCCCAGUUCCUUGAGGCAUAGCAACUUGAGCUUUCUGGUUUAGAAACGAGAGAUCUGGUUUUUAACAAAAUGGUUGAAAUCACUGAUGGAAAUUUUGUUUUACUGUGUUUUGUUUUGUUUUGUUUUUAAAUUUUAAUGCUUCAAGCAUUUUUGGUUGACAAACACAGAUGGUAGUAAAACUGAUAAUAGUAAGACUGCUGUAAGCAUAUGUAGAAAAGGCUUACCGUGAGUGUUUAAGUUGAGGAAUAAGAAUCACGUGUAACAUUGUCUUAUUGGUAAGAUUUAAGUUCACUCUGAGGCAAAUGGAAGUUCUAAUAGGCCCCAUCGACUUCAGAAGUAGGAGUGGGAGAUUAGAAAAACAGCCAUUCUUAUUUCUUCCUGACUCCUUUUUAAUCUUAGAGAUUUCAGAGGCCCGAACAGAGGAAAACGAAAAUGUAGUUGUUCAAUAAUAAGUUAAUCAAUUCAAUAAACUAUUUAUUGGGCUUUCUAUUAGUUGCUAGGUGUUUCUUGGCUUGUUGAGGAUUUAAGCAAUGGAUAAGGCAAAAACUCUGCCUUUGUGGUAGGUGAUGAGUCAUUUGGGGGAGACAGAAGUAAACAAGCAGAACCCAAUAUAUUAAAUAUCAUUAGUAUAACAGAAGUAUUAAUUGUGUAGGGUCCUAUAAGAAAAAAGACAUAGAGGAACAACUCAGCUCUUCCUUUUUUUUUUUUAAUUUUAUUUUUUCUAUUAUGUUCAAUUAGCCAACUUGUAAUACAUCAUUAGUUUUUGAUGUAGUGUUGAACAAUUCAUUAGUUUUGUAUAACGCCCAGUGCUCAUCACCACAUGUGCCCUCUUUAGUACCCAUCUCAGCUCUUCUUGAUGAAGAUUCAGGCAAUUUUGAGUGAGAAGGUGAUUAUUGACCUCUUGAAGAGUGAAUAGGAUUUUUCCAGAUGAACAAGAGUAGCAGUGGCUUUUUUAAGGCAUAGGAAGAUUUUGUACUCCAGGGACCUGUGAGUAUUUUAGAACAGCUAGAGCACAUGGUGUGUGGCAGAGAGAAAAAGAGGUGUGACUGAAGAGGUGGAAAACUUUCCACAAAGAAUCUUGAAUGCCAUGACAUAUCCUUUGGAUUUUUUUUCUGGGCAGCAAAAAGUCAGUUAAAGUUUUUAAAAGUAGUAUGAAUCCUGGGGAGAAGGAUUGAAUAUGGUGCAGUUCUGCACAGAAGAAAAUACCAGAAGGAGGAGUAACUUCCGGGUGAGGUAGUGAUAGCAGGUAUUUGGUAAAAGGUGUUUAGUUGAGUUUUGUAGAUACUGAAUUUGAGGUGCCACUGGGGAAGGCCUUCAGAAAUCUGGUUCUAGAGUUCAGGACUUAGCUAUUGGAUGGGUUUGACAAUUUGUAGAUCUGGGAUUGGCUGGUGGCCCCUGUUUCGGAGACUCAUUGAACUUCGGAAAGAUGACUAAUAGACACUAACCCGGGGUAGCAGCUGAACUCCCCUCCCUACCACAUAGAAAUUGAUGGUACUUGUCUUUUUAUUUUUAUUUUUUUGUAUUACUAUUUUGGAAAUAUCUGAUGUUUUUGUCUAUAAGUUAUGGAAAUUAAAUAUAUCUUAUGCCGUGGAAAUUAGUUUUCUAAUUGGACAAGUGGAGUAAUUUAUUUUCCACGGUGGUACUAGAUUUGGGGCAGGUCCUUGGUAACUCUAAUCUGGAACCUUAGACUUCCUGUCUUACUCUCCAUUGAGAAUCUGGUGAGAUACAGUGAGAGACUGGUACUGUUUUAUUCUCUGUAGGGUUUUUUUUCCCCCCUCCCCUCCCAGCACUGCUGUAGUGCCUCCCGCCCCCAGUGGUCCCCGCAGCAGAGAGCCCCAGUCUGGUCCAGGUGGGAGACCAGAGCUCCUCCAGCCCUAUUCCAGUCCCCUCCACACAUGUACAGAGAAGAGAGGCAUGCACCCCGGCACCCCUGACACGCCCAGCUGUGCUGCAGGAGCAAGGACAGCAGCUGGGUUGAGGCAGCCUCAGUGGGGCUCUGUUCUCUGUUGAUUUUAACCUGUACAGAUCUCGUGUUGUGUGUGUUUUGGAUAUAUCAAAAGAUUCUGGGUAUCAAGCAAAAUUAUUUCUAAAUGUGUGACAUGGAUUCUUAAGAACACUGUCAGAGUGAAACUGUUUAUUUUAGAAACUUGUGUUUCAAAACUGACUUUUGGUAUUCAUACAGUGGGCCUCAAUUUUGAUAUUCAGACGUUGGCAGGUGUACUUUUUAAACUAGCUGUUUCCUAAGGUAUAGAUGAUAAACUUGGGGGAGGAGUUCAUUCAUUUGUCACGUAUCAGUACAAAUAUUUACUCAUCUGUCAUAGUGACAAUGGAAAUAUGUUUAGUGUUAAGGCUUUGAUCUCUUAUGUAAGAUGAUAUUUAAAAAUUUCUUUAUGGAAUAUUUACUUCUUUGAUGAUUUUCCUGACUCUUUUCAUCUAGAAUGUCCAGAAUUUGAGUGUUGUUAUAGUUUAUUAACCUGUAACUUUGGAGUAUGACUCUUUUAGUAAGAUGGGAAUUUGUCUGCCUUGUGCGGGAUAGGUACUCCUAAUCAAACAGUGUUGUUGCCACAGGCUGAGUAUUGGGCAGACUGUUGAGAAUCAGCAAAGCUGGCAGAGCUGGUCACCCCUAAGUUAGAAGAGGUGGUUUGGCUUACAUGUUGGCAUGUUUUUAAAAAUCUUGAAUUUGACUAAAUUUUGUUUUCCUUGUAAGAGAACUUACAUGUUUGGCAAAUUCCUGGAAUCUAAUUUUGAAAUUCAUACUGUUGUCAUUUUCUUGAAACGUUCCUUCAUCAUAGCUUUGAUUAUAGAGAAAUCACUGUCCUCUACUGUUUUACACGCUCAUGUAAAAAUUGGAGCUCAUUCCCUAGUCUUUGUAUAUGUAUUUAAACCAAAACGAAUGCUGUCUGUGAUAUGAUACUCUCUUCUGAUUUGAAUCACUGCUUUCCUAAUAAGCCACAAUUACCUCUAAAAAAUUCCCAUGGAAAUAAUAUUUAUUCAGAUAGAGCAUUAACUGGGAUAUUUCAGUCUAUGCAGUCCCGGUCUGAAGGAAAUAAGCCACAUUCUUUGGAUGUAGAUUAGUGUUGUAGAGUGAACAUCUAUACAUUAGUUGUUUGACUCCUCGUAUUCUUAAAAUACUACCUGUUACGUCACGGAAGCAGGGAAGUGAAGUAAAAGAAAUACAGACGUGUUCUGGGUGGCUCAGUCGGUUAAGCGUCUGCCUUCAGCUCAGGGCAUGAUCCUGGGAGCCUGGGGUCAAGUCCUGGGUCGGG